rnacentral:rRNA from 1 species
AGAUCAUGUGAUCUGACCUUGUGGCUAAGGUAGCAUAAUCAUUAGCUUUUUAAUUGGAAGCCAGUAUAAACGAGUUGACGAGGAAAAUCCUGUCUCUUAUUUUUUUUUUAAUUUUAUCUAAAGGUAAAAAAGCCUUUUUACUUUAAAAGGACGACAAGACCCUAAAACCUUCCUUUAAUUUUAUUAUAUUAAAUUAUUUAAAAAUAAAUAUUGGAUUACUGGGGCGGUAAAAAUUGUUACAAAAUAAACAACCAUGACUUGUGCAAAUAUUUAAAAACCCUUACGUAGAUAAACAGGUACUUUAGGGAUAACAGCACAAUUUAUCUUUAGAGACCUUAUCAACAGAUAAUCUGUGACCUCGAUGUUGAAUUGAGUAUCUUGUUUAAGCAGUUUAAAUAUAGA